GUAAGGAAUAUUGGACAAUGGGCGCAAGCCUGAUCCAGCCAUGCCGCGUGAGUGAUGAAGGCCUUCGGGUUGUAAAGCUCUUUAGCCGAUGAUUAUAAUGACUGUAGUCGGAAAAUAAGCCCCGGCUAACUUCGUGCCAGCAGCCGCGGUAAUACGAAGGGGGCGAGCGUUAUUCGGAAUCACUGGGCGUAAAGCGUACGUAGGCGGCUUUGCAAGUUGGGAGUGAAAGCCCAGGGCUCAACCCUGGAAUUGCUCUCAAAACUGCAAGGCUCGAAUUCGGGAGAGGAUAGCGGAAUUGUCAGUGUAGCAGUGAAAUGCGUAGAUAUUGACAGGAACACCAGUGGCGUAAGCGGCUAUCUGGACCGAUAUUGACGCUGAGGCACGAAAGCGUGGGGAUCAAACAGGAUUAGAAACCCCGGUAGUCC
rnacentral:rRNA from 1 species